rnacentral:rRNA from 1 species
AAGCUCGUAGUUGAAUUUCGGGGUUAGUAGGUUGGUCAUGCCUCUGGUAUGUACUGGUCUCACUGAUUCCUCCUUCCUUAUGAACCGUAAUGCCAUUAAUUUGGUGUUGCGGGGAAUUUGGACUGCUACUUUGAAAAAAUUAGAGUGUUUAAAGCAAGCUAACGCUUGAAUACAUUAGCAUGGAAUAAUGAAAUAGGACGUUCGAUCUUAUUUUGUUUGGUUUUCUUAGGAUUGACGUAAUGAUUAAUAGGGAUAGUUGGG